rfam:Parcubacteria bacterium GW2011_GWA2_43_13 TV70_C0011, whole genome shotgun sequence.
UGGGGGAUCGUCUAAUGGUAGGACAGAGGCCUUUGAAGCCUUUGAUCGGGGUUCGAAUCCCUGUCCCCCAG